rnacentral:rRNA from 1 species
GCACAAGCGGUGGAUGAUGUGGUUAAUUCGAUGCAACGCGAAAACCUUACCACCUUUGACAUGUACGGAAUCCUUUAGAGAUAGAGGAGUGCUCGAAAGAGAGCCGUAACACAGGUGCUGCAUGGCUGUCGUCAGCUCGUGUCGUGGGAUGUUGGGUUAAGUCCCGCAACGAGCGCAACCCUUGUCAUUAGUUGCUACAUUCAGUUGGGCACUCUAAUGAGACUGCCGGUGACAAACCGGAGGAAGGUGGGGAUGACGUCAAGUCCUCAUGGCCCUUAUAGGUGGGGCUACACACGUCAUACAAUGGAUGGUACAAAGGGUCGCCAACCCGCGAGGGGGAGCCAAUCCCAUAAAGCCAUUCGUAGUCCGGAUCGCAGUCUGCAACUCGACUGCGUGAAGUCGGAAUCGCUAGUAAUCGUGGAUCAGAAUGUCACGGUGAAUACGUUCCCGGGUCUU